rnacentral:lncRNA from 1 species
UUGAGUUCCCUUCAGGGUUUGGAGGCUGCUAUGAACUCUGUUAGUUCUUCUCUCACUAUCUUUUUCCUCAGGGUUUUGUUACAAGGAAACCUCAGAGUAUUUUGCUUCCCUCCCUUUUUUCUCAAGUGAAGCCUUGGUAUUUAUAGACUGAAUUCCAUGGCUUUGUGGGCUCAAAUGAGAGAGGCCCAAGUCCAAAAUUUUUUGUUCUAUUUUAUUUAUUUUUUUUAUUAUUAUUUUUAUUUAUUUAUUUUUAACUUUUUUUGUUUUUCAUUUUUUUUUCGUUUUUUUUUCCAGGAAAAAUGAAGGGUAAAUUUUGGGGUAUUACAGCUGCCCCUAUUUAAUCAACUGGAGACCCGGAAAGAAGAUAGCAGC